CGGCCCAUAGAGAGAGGCCGAUGUCUGGAGUGUGGUGAAGAAGUUGGAGGAGAACAUUACGCAGUCGUGCCUGGAUUCACAAAAGUUCAGUUGCAUGAGGAUCAAACACGUCCCGGUCACAUUCUGGGAGACCCUGAACGGAGAAACAACCCAGAUGCUUUAGACACCAAACACAUGUCUCUGACUCCCUUUACUCUGGUCAGGUUGGUUACACAUUUGGCCAUGAUGCUGGGAGCCUCAGAGAAACCUGAGGUUGUCCAACAGAUAAUCCAGCCACCUGUGGAGGAUGUCAGUUUGUUUCUCAGGUUGCACAUAACAAAGGAUCUUGAGCAUCUGUCCCAGGCACUGGGAAAAGGAGCUGACGACAACGUAACAUCUGUUCACUUGGUGCUCAAAUCACUUCAAGAACUACCACAUGCCA